CCGGCACAGUGUUACAAACAACACAACAAUACUCACAGUGCUGUGUGAUCGCAAUCGGAAUACAAUGAAGGAAGCUGCGUUUUGUUUUUUUGGUGUACUUUUUAUACAUUAACAAGAUCAAGUUGGUGUUGGCAUUCGUAAGAACAAGUUUUGUUGCCAUGCCAAUGCCACACAAUAUAUCUUCUCUUCAUCAAAAGGAAUGUAGUCCAUUAACAAGUUCUUUCACUAGAAAAUCAAAACACGUGUUUGCGGACCAGGAUUUCUUUUACAUGCGAAGCACGGACGACGAGACAACAGACGAUUCUUUUAGACUGUCAACAGCUGAGUGUUUUCAGCUUCCUGAAGUACUUUUUGCGCUAAAAAACUUAAAGUCUGAAUGCAGAAUGCUUAGCGAAAGAGAGGUGAAUAAUUGUGAUUUCAAUGAAAUGGAUUGCACAGGAGUUCCCUUUGCAAAAGAAUUGUGUGUAAACUGCAAGUCUAAAUCGUGCCCGGAAAACGUCACAUGCUAUGUUUUGGCUGGAAAAUGCUCUAGGUGGUAUUAUUCAAAGAAAUAUGUGACAGGAGAGAAAGACAUCGACGGUAAUUUGGUUUGUGUUCCGGGGUUCUAUGGUUGGAUGUGUUCCUCAAAAUGUAGUCGCCAUUGUGUGAACGGAGAAUGUCAUCAUAUCAAUGGCACCUGCCUGCAAGGAUGUAAUUCCGGUUGGAAGGGGGACAAGUGCACCGAACCAGACUGCCCACCGAACACGUACGGAUUGAACUGUAACAUGACGUGUAGCCCAAACUGUGUUGGUGAAUACAAAAGCGUGGACGGCACGUGUUGGUGUAAAGAUGGAUGGAGUAACAAUAACAAAGGAGUGUUAUGUAACAAACCCUGUGAACCAGGAAUGUAUGGUCCGCGUUGUGGAUAUCCUUGCGGAGAUUGUUUGGAAGGAACAGUCUGCUCUCCAGAAAAUGGCUCUUGUCCUAAAGGUUGCAACAAACCAGGUUUCUACAACAUUACCCUCUAUGACCAGAUGUGCCAAAAUUACGACAACACUUAUGAGAAGAUGCAGAUUUGAUGAAUAUGGUAGGAACUGUGAAAACAAAUGCAGUUCAACCUGUAAAGAUAAUUACUGUAGGAAUGAAGACGGGAAGUGUUUGAGAUGUCCUCCUGGGGUCCAGGGCCACAAUUGCACCACAGAGAAUGCAACCCCGGGACUUUCGGCAAAAACUGUAACGGUCGGUGUCAUUGUGACGGUGGCGCCCCCUGUGAUCCUGUGAGUGGCCGGUGCCCCGGAGAAUGUGAAGAAGGGUACGAAGGGGAAACCUGUAGUACGAAAAGAAACCUUGCAAUCGAAGAUACGGAUAUUGUCCAGAUAAGGAGUGUCAAAAAGGCUGGGGGUUGUCCUCAUGUGACUACAGAAAAGUAUGCUUGUAUAAUCCAAGAGAUGACUUAAGCCCAAUUAUAUGGGAGCCCAGGAGCUUGGGUAUAGGUAUUGCUGUCGGAUUCGUGUCCUUUUUCUUUGUUUUUGGAUGUGGUUUUGGACGAAAAAAACUCGGCAAAAUGUAGAUCUUGAAAAACGAAAGAACGAAAAUUUCAAAAAGACGAUAAAAUGAAAAGGUGUGAUAUUAUGGGUGGGCUUGAUUGGUACUGACGAAUUUACGGGAUCGGUGGAUUAACAAUCAGUGCAUCGGAAUUUAAUGACGACGCAGUGCUAUCUAUCCCAUUUUGAGGGGUAAUGUACUAUAUACAUUUCUAAUUCCAGUUUUACUUGAUUGAUUGACAAGUGGAAUUUUCUGAAGUUUCGAAAUUGAAAUCCUGCUUUUAAUCUCUAGUCAUCGAUAACAUUGAAUUUGAAGUUCUUCUACCAUUUAUGCACCUGACUAAUUCUUUUUGUUGAUAUAUUGCAAUGUUGGACUAUUGCUGAUCCUUUAGCCAUUACAAGAUUAUUGUAACAGAACAGAUAACAUCUCGCAGCUCCCUACAUUUGGAGUGUGAUUAUACAAUUUUGAAUUCAGUUCAAUUAUUGUUUUUGAAGCGUGGUUUUUUUAAUCAAGGUAAAUGAUUUUGAAUAAGGUCACGGUUUGAGUUACGAAAAUAAAGAUUAUUAAAGUUCAAUUUCUUUUCUUUUUUCAAUAGGCCAAAACUCUUUUACACACAAAUAGAAAUGUGAAUUACUUCGUCAGUUUUACAUGUUAUAUUCAGUUAAUAAAAAAUAAAAUGAA